rfam:Lepisosteus oculatus linkage group LG1, whole genome shotgun sequence.
UUCAGCAGCUAUAUCACCCUGCAGCUCACAAGUGAUAAGCAGGUGAGAGCCUGGCCAGGACUGGAUGGGAGACCUCCUGGGAAAGCUAAGGUUGCUGCUGGAA